CCCUGCUCAAACGAGCUUACAGACUAUAGGAGGUGGGGUAUUUGAAACAUUAGGACAUGGAAUAUCAAGUAGGAGUGAAGCAGAGCUGGAGGAGAGAGCAAAGCACUGUCCCAUAGGAGAGAGCAGGAGACAGGUAUGUAAGGUAGAGAUUACUCUGGGAGGCCAUAAGUUUCCUGAAGAGAUGGGUUUUAAGGCCCUUCUUAAAUGAUUGAAGACUAGGGGAGAGUCUGAUGGCAGUAGGCAAGCUAUUCCAUAGGAGAGGAGCCGCCCGCGAGAGGUCCUGCAAGCGUGAGUUGGCCGUACGGGUGCGAGCAGCGGUCAGGAGGUGGUCACGGGCAGAGCGGAGGGUACGAGGAGGGGCAUAUCUAUGGAUUAGUGAAGAGAUAUAAGUGGGGCUAGAAUUGUUCAGUGCUUUAAAUGUAUGGGUUAGCACUUUGAAUUGAC